rnacentral:tRNA from 1 species
UUUUAUAUAGUUUAAUAAAAACAUUAUAUUUUCAAUAUAAAAUUAAUUAAAAAUAAUUUAUAAAGA